AAUUAUGUGUGUAUUGUAGAUGUGAAUUGCACUAGGCUACUUAGCUGCUUGUACUGCUUGUAUUGAAGCUACAUGCAUUCAGAAUGGCAUCCGAGUUUGAAAACCUGUUGGUUGAUUACAUGGACCGAGGAUGGAGCCUAGUCAAGAACAUAUCUUCAAUUGUCUGGACUUCAUUGGACUUACUGGGAAGCUCUGCAAGGUACAUCAUUCCUGCCAUAGAAUUCUAAGUUUGCAUAUUUGAGUAUCUUUGGGGUUCAUCAGUUGCUAGAAAGGAAAAAAGAAGUGAGAAUAUCGGUGCCGUAGAAAGUAGUUUUCCUGAGAGAUUAAUUAUCAUGACUGUCAGGAGCUAAAGAGAUCAGAAACAGCACAAGUUAGAGACAUGUUCUUAAAGCAUUGAAAGAAGGCAUGAGGGUACUGAAGGCUGCCAGUUUUGAAGACCUUCCUGGUUGGUUAUGAUAGUCUUCUUCCUCUGAUGCUGGAACUGAGUCCUAUCAAGUGCACUUAUCCUCACAUCCCUACUUUAUGACCAUGUAAAUUUCAGAAACAUUACAAGCACUCUUCUGUUCAAAGUUCUACUGGCUGGACUCCCCAAGACAAGAUGCCCCUCAGGUACUCUUCAUGUUGUGUGGCUAUUUCCACACACGUGAUUCAAAACAAAUAGCAACAAAGCUUUAUGUCAUGUAGAGUUUUCAUUUUCUUCAGAUUCAGGUUAUAGUCAAGUCUG